CUUCGAUGGUCUUGGGUUGCAGGCCCUUGAGUUUGAGGUGCUUGAGAUUGAUCUGGUACUGCCGUUCAAAGUCGGCGGUCGAUGGC
rnacentral:tRNA from 1 species